rnacentral:siRNA from 1 species
GAGCAGUCCGUUUGGUGUCUUUGC